rfam:Rattus norvegicus chromosome 2, whole genome shotgun sequence.
CGGAUUUAGCUCAGUGGUAGAGCGCUUGCCUAGGAAGCGCAAGGCCCUGGGUUCGGUUCCCAGCUCCGA